rnacentral:lncRNA from 1 species
GCGGCCGGACGCCGGCAGACGGRGAAUUUCCCCUCCUCCUUUGGCCGCCAUUUUUGUUAAGGGAAAAACGUCCUCGUGCGCCUUGCCCCGCUUCUUGCGGGCGCCAUUUUCUAAAGGGGCAAAUUCUCACACGUUGGGACUCGGCAGCCGUGAGGCGGCGGGCGGCGGCGGCGGCGCGGACGGGCCUCGGCUCGGCUCCCGAGCGGUGCCGCCCUGAGUGGCACCCGUGGGCUGCGUCCAUCCAAAGCGGGCAGUCCUGGCAGCCCCUGGGGCGGCAGGAUGGUGAACUGAGGAGAUCAUUCUACAAAAGAAGGUAGAGGCGAAGUCAUGUCCCUGUGCUUCAGCAAAGAGGUCAUCAACUGAAUGUUCUAGAUGAGAGAGGCAGGAUGGGGAAGAGGAACAGCYUGGUUCAGCUCAGGUCACAUAGCAGGUGAGUAGUAAUAUGGAYGCUGUGUCCUACCCCUGUGAAUACAUUGCAUGUGUUUAUUGGCUAGAAAAGGUGGACUUCCACUUUUCU